UGAGAAGGUACCUAAAUGAAUGGACUGCUGAAACAGCUGUAUUUUAAUUUGUAACUGCUCACCCACAGGGAACUUUUACAAGGAUUUGAUCAUAAGUGCCUCUGAAACAUGUACUCAAAGAGGCAGAUAUAAAUUGGAAUGGCACAGAGCUCAGCGGAAGGAAGAAGAGCAGAUGGAGACCUGAUAAACCCUCCUUUGUCUGUGUGUUUGGCAAUCCAAAGGAUUCUGUGUAUUGCUUCUCUGUCUAAAUAGUUUUUUGAAACUAGUUGUCACAACUCCAGAUAAUCUCCUAUUUCUCAAAGCCCAGCUUCAAGGAAAUGAAUGAAAAUCAACUUGUCAACCCCAUCCAGCAAAUAUCAACCCCACCCCACCUCUAGGAGAGCUGGGCAGGAAGUGCAGGUGCUCCAGCUGUCAGGCAGCCAAGAUGCAUUGUGGGACAGCAGGAGCACCAGACCCAAGAUGGCAGCUGGCAGGAGGCUGAUGAAGGACAACCCUCCCUAUGACAAGGGAGCAUUCAGAAUUGAAAUCAACUUCCCAGCAGAAUAUUCAUUCAAACCACCUAAGAUCACUUUUUAAACAAAGAUUUACCACCCCAACAUCAAUUACUGGCAUGUCUGUCUGCCAGUAAUUAUUUAGUGCUGAAAACUGGAAGCCAGCAACAAAACUGACCAAGUCAUAGCACUGGUGAAUGACCACCAGCCUGAGUACCUGCUUCGGGCAGACUUAGCUGAAGAGUACUCUAAGGAUCAUAAAAAAUUCUGUAAGAAUGCUGAAGAGUUUACAAAGAAACAUGGGGGAAAGUGACUGGUGGACUAAAUCUUCUCUGAUUGAUUCCUGCAAGGGCUAGUGGAGACCCGGAGCAGUGCAUUUCCAACACCCCACAACCAGGACUCUGGAAAAUUGACAGGCGCCACCUCCUGGCAUUAACUUGGGGCAGUUACUAACUUUCUAUAGUUUUUUUAAUCAAAAGUGUUCUAGGUAAACCAGUAAAGGGAGGAUUAAAAAUUUAAGAUGUUCUAGUUCUGAUUUCUUUGUUUUAAAAAUCACUGCUUCAAUCUACCUUAAAGAAUGGUGUGUUCUUUUCUUGCCCAAAUCUAUCCCAAAUCUUCAGUUUUCCCUCAGGUUUAAAACAGAAAGUUAGUGAGUGGUGCACACUCCUGAUCCCUCCCUUCCCCUUUGUAGGUCUUAUUUUAUUGAGUUCAUUUUAAUCUCACUCCCUAUCCCCAGAAUAAUACCUGGGAACCCCUCAUUCAACCUCUUCCCUUCCUCCCCCACCCCAAGCCUGAAAGAAAAUGGCCUAAAAUCCAACAGUCUUGUUGCCUUCCCUCCCUGCGGCUCUGUGCUUUGUGAGUAUGGGUUGUGAGUCU
rnacentral:lncRNA from 1 species